ACCUCCUCACCACCACACUAACCAUGAUCUUCACCCUCCUUCCUCACCCCUACCACCAGUUACUGUGGUGUCGAUAUGGAAGCAGGGGCUACCAGGAGGGGACAACAUAAAGCCAGCCUGUGUGUGCCUGUCCAAGUGAGUGAGGGGAUGUGAGAUGGUCUCAAGCUCUGGCGAAAGGCCUCCUCACCUUAUUGGCUGGGGUGUAGGAUGGUACAUGGAACUGAGGGG
rnacentral:lncRNA from 1 species